GAUACCAGGGUCAAAAGGUCAUGCUUUUCAUGCUUGCAUGAAAAAGCAUGAGUUUAGGAUCCGCAAAACAUGAGAAAGUAGCCCGAAUAGGGCGAAUUUCGAAUGUUUUUAGUAUUGCGAGAGCACAAAGUGCGUAGCAAUACGUAGGUAUC
rnacentral:sRNA from 1 species